rnacentral:snRNA from 1 species
AUCGCUUCUCAGCCUUUUGGCUAAGAUCAAAUGUAGUAUCUGUUCUUAUCAGUUUAAUAUCUGAUACGUCCUCUAUCCUAGGACAACAUAUUAGAUGUAUUUUUGUAAGUAGGAGUUGGACUAGGAGCCUGCUCCAUCCACUCCAUGCAUCAGCCUGGUAUUGCAGUACUUCCAGGAAUGGUGCAGCGCCU